CAGUAGGGAAUCUUCCACAAUGGACGCAAGUCUGAUGGAGCAACGCCGCGUGAGUGAAGAAGGUUUUCGGAUCGUAAAGCUCUGUUGUUGGUGAAGAAGGAUAGAGGUAGUAACUGGCCUUUAUUUGACGGUAAUCAACCAGAAAGUCACGGCUAACUACGUGCCAG
rnacentral:rRNA from 1 species